UUUGUGGUGAAAAAAAAUUAAAAGGAAAAUAAAAGAAAAAGUUAAUUAAAAGUGGUAGGACCCACAUGCACCUUUAGUCAUCAAAAUGACCAAAUGUCACUUUACAGACUUCAUUUUCCUCUCUUUCUUUUCCUCACGUCAGUUUGCUCUUGCUCUCUCUUUCUCUCUCAUUCUUCUCCCAAUUUUCUUUUUCUUUUCUAUACAAACUUUAACUCUUGAUUAAUCUCUCAUUUCUUAGAGUUUUUGGGAGCUGUUUGCGGCAAAACGGAGAACACGGCGAGAUCUACGUGACACGGAAGGGAAGUGGCGGACGACACUUCUCCACAGGGUUUGAUGGGUAGAAUCCAUGGUCAUGGUACCUCGAGAGGACCUUUUUUUCAGCUCCCAGGAAGUUUUGGUCGAUUGGUGAUAUAAGUCAGCAGAUCGACAUACUAUUUUUGGCUUGGACAAAGAGUGCACCAGCUAAGAGGCAUGUUUCAGCCCACUGAAAGUGCAGUUUCAGCUGGCUGAUCCUCCCUAAAGCCUUCCAUUUUCAGUUUUUAAGGACAACUUUGAUUUGUCGACUUCUGACAGCCAUAUCUCAUUUAUUUCUAAUCUAAAUUAGGUCAUUCUUAAGUCCAUUUUGAACGUCUUGAAGUUAGCUUUUCAUUGAUACCAACCUCAUUUAAAAACUCCUACUACAAUGAGAGUUAUGUUUGUUUCUA